rnacentral:rRNA from 1 species
UGCAGGCUGCAACUCGCCUGCAUGAAGUCGGAAUUGCUAGUAAUCGCAGAUCAGCAUGCUGUGGUGAAUACCGUUCCCGGGCCUUGUACACACCGCCCGUCACACCAUGGGAGUCGGUAACACCCAAAGUUGGUAGUCUAACCGCAAGGAGGACGCCGCCUAAGGUGGGAUUGAUGACUGGGGUGAAGUCGUAACAAGGUACC